rnacentral:rRNA from 1 species
UAGCUGCGCUGCCUUAUCUGCAGUCGUACGGGCAACUAAGCUUGCUCUGGUGGCGAGUGGCGAACGGGUGAGUAAUAUAUCGGAACGUACCCUAGAGUGGGGGAUAACGUAGCGAAAGUUACGCUAAUACCGCAUACGAUCUAAGGAUGAAAGUGGGGGAUCGCAAGACCUCAUGCUCGUGGAGCGGCCGAUAUCUGAUUAGCUAGUUGGUAGGGUAAAAGCCUACCAAGGCAUCGAUCAGUAGCUGGUCUGAGAGGACGACCAGCCACACUGGAACUGAGACACGGUCCAGACUCCUACGGGAGGCAGCAGUGGGGAAUUUUGGACAAUGGGCGAAAGCCUGAUCCAGCAAUGCCGCGUGAGUGAAGAAGGCCUUCGGGUUGUAAAGCUCUUUUGUCAGGGAAGAAACGGUGAGAGCUAAUAUCUCUUGCUAAUGACGGUACCUGAAGAAUAAGCACCGGCUAACUACGUGCCAGCAGCCGCGGUAAUACGUAGGGUGCAAGCGUUAAUCGGAAUUACUGGGCGUAAAGCGUGCGCAGGCGGUUUUGUAAGUCUGAUGUGAAAUCCCCGGGCUCAACCUGGGAAUUGCAUUGGAGACUGCAAGGCUAGAAUCUGGCAGAGGGGGGUAGAAUUCCACGUGUAGCAGUGAAAUGCGUAGAUAUGUGGAGGAACACCGAUGGCGAAGGCAGCCCCCUGGGUCAAGAUUGACGCUCAUGCACGAAAGCGUGGGGAGCAAACAGGAUUAGAUACCCUGGUAGUCCACGCCCUAACGAUGUCUAC